UACGCAGGGGGCAAGCGUUGUCCGGAAUCAUUGGGCGUAAAGCGCGUGUAGGCGGUCCGGUAAGUCCGCUGUGAAAGUCCAGGGCCCAACCCUGGGAUGCCGGUGGAUACUGUCGGGCUAGAGUACGGAAGAGGCGAGUGGAAUUCCCGGUGUAGCGGUGAAAUGCGCAGAUAUCGGGAGGAACACCAAUUGCGAAGGCAGCUCGCUGGGACGUUACUGACGCUGAGACGCGAAAGCGUGGGGAGCAAACAGG
rnacentral:rRNA from 1 species